GAAUAGGCCCAAGCGACUGUUUAGCAAAAACACAGCUCUCUGCGAAGCCGUAAGGCGAAGUAUAGGGGGUGACACCUGCCCGGUGCUGGAAGGUUAAGGAGAGGGGUUAGCGUAAGCGAAGCUCUGAACUGAAGCCCCAGUAAACGGCGGCCGUAACUAUAACGGUCCUAAGGUAGCGAAAUUCCUUGUCGGGUAAGUUCCGACCCGCACGAAAGGUGUAACGAUUUGGGCACUGUCUCAACCAGAGACUCGGUGAAAUUAUAGUACCUGUGAAGAUGCAGGUUACCCGCGACAGGACGGAAAGACCCCGUGGAGCUUUACUGUAGCCUGAUAUUGAAUUUUGGUACAGUUUGUACAGGAUAGGCGGGAGCCAUUGAAACCGGAGCGCUAGCUUCGGUGGAGGCGCUGGUGGGAUACCGCCCUGACUGUAUUGAAAUUCUAACCUACGGGUCUUAUCGACCCGGGAGACAGUGUCAGGUGGGCAGUUUGACUGGGGCGGUCGCCUCCUAAAGUGUAACGGAGGCGCCCAAAGGUUCCCUCAGAAUGGUUGGAAAUCAUUCGUAGAGUGCAAAGGCAUAAGGGAGCUUGACUGCGAGACCUACAAGUCGAGCAGGGACGAAAGUCGGGCUUAGUGAUCCGGUGGUUCCGCAUGGAAGGGCCAUCGCUCAACGGAUAAAAGCUACCCCGGGGAUAACAGGCUUAUCUCCCCCAAGAGUCCACAUCGACGGGGAGGUUUGGCACCUCGAUGUCGGCUCAUCGCAUCCUGGGGCUGUAGUCGGUCCCAAGGGUUGGGCUGUUCGCCCAUUAAAGCGGUACGCGAGCUGGGUUCAGAACGUCGUGAGACAGUUCGGUCCCUAUCCGUCGUGGGCGUAGGAAAUUUGAGAGGAGCUGUCCUUAGUACGAGAGGACCGGGAUGGACGCACCGCUGGUGUACCAGUUGUUCUGCCAAGGGCAUAGCUGGGUAGCUAUGUGCGGAAGGGAUAAGUGCUGAAAGCAUCUAAGCAUGAAGCCCCCCUCAAGAUGAGAUUUCCCAUAGCGUAAGCUAGUAAGAUCCCUGAAAGAUGAUCAGGUUGAUAGGUUCGAGGUGGAAGCAUGGUGACAUGUGGAGCUGACGAAUACUAAUAGAUCGAGGACUUAACCAU
rnacentral:rRNA from 1 species